GACGAACGCUGGCGGCGUGCCUAAUACAUGCAAGUAGAACGCUGAAGAGAGGAGCUUGCUCUUCUUGGAUGAGUUGCGAACGGGUGAGUAACGCGUAGGUAACCUGCCUUGUAGCGGGGGAUAACUAUUGGAAACGAUAGCUAAUACCGCAUAACAAUGGAUGACACAUGUCAUUUAUUUGAAAGGGGCAAUUGCUCCACUACAAGAUGGACCUGCGUUGUAUUAGCUAGUAGGUGAGGUAAUGGCUCACCUAGGCGACGAUACAUAGCCGACCUGAGAGGGUGAUCGGCCACACUGGGACUGAGACACGGCCCAGACUCCUACGGGAGGCAGCAGUAGGGAAUCUUCGGCAAUGGGGGCAACCCUGACCGAGCAACGCCGCGUGAGUGAAGAAGGUUUUCGGAUCGUAAAGCUCUGUUGUAAGUCAAGAACGGGUGUGAGAGUGGAAAGUUCACACUGUGACGGUAGCUUACCAGAAAGGGACGGCUAACUACGUGCCAGCAGCCGCGGUAAUACGUAGGUCCCGAGCGUUGUCCGGAUUUAUUGGGCGUAAAGCGAGCGCAGGCGGUUUGAUAAGUCUGAAGUUAAAGGCUGUGGCUCAACCAUAGUUCGCUUUGGAAACUGUCAAACUUGAGUGCAGAAGGGGAGAGUGGAAUUCCAUGUGUAGCGGUGAAAUGCGUAGAUAUAUGGAGGAACACCGGUGGCGAAAGCGGCUCUCUGGUCUGUAACUGACGCUGAGGCUCGAAAGCGUGGGGAGCGAACAGGAUUAGAUACCCUGGUAGUCCACGCCGUAAACGAUGAGUGCUAGGUGUUGGAUCCUUUCCGGGAUUCAGUGCCGCAGCUAACGCAUUAAGCACUCCGCCUGGGGAGUACGACCGCAAGGUUGAAACUCAAAGGAAUUGACGGGGGCCCGCACAAGCGGUGGAGCAUGUGGUUUAAUUCGAAGCAACGCGAAGAACCUUACCAGGUCUUGACAUCCCGAUGCUAUUUCUAGAGAUAGAAAGUUACUUCGGUACAUCGGUGACAGGUGGUGCAUGGUUGUCGUCAGCUCGUGUCGUGAGAUGUUGGGUUAAGUCCCGCAACGAGCGCAACCCCUAUUGUUAGUUGCCAUCAUUCAGUUGGGCACUCUAGCGAGACUGCCGGUAAUAAACCGGAGGAAGGUGGGGAUGACGUCAAAUCAUCAUGCCCCUUAUGACCUGGGCUACACACGUGCUACAAUGGUUGGUACAACGAGUUGCGAGUCGGUGACGGCGAGCUAAUCUCUUAAAGCCAAUCUCAGUUCGGAUUGUAGGCUGCAACUCGCCUACAUGAAGUCGGAAUCGCUAGUAAUCGCGGAUCAGCACGCCGCGGUGAAAAAAGUCCCGGGCCU
rnacentral:rRNA from 1 species